rnacentral:rRNA from 1 species
UGAGUAACACGUGAGUGACCUGCCUUUUAGACUGGAACAACUUACCGAAAGGUGAGCUAAUGCCGGAUGAGUUAUAUAAGUGCAUGUUUAUAUAGGAAAAGUUGGGGAGACCUGACGCUGAAAGAUGGACUCGCGUCCCAUUAGCUAGUUGGUAGGGUAAUGGCCUACCAAGGCGACGAUGGGUAGCCGGCCUGAGAGGGUGGCCGGCCACAUGGGACUGAGACACGGCCCAGACUCCUACGGAAGGCAGCAG